CUGCAGGCUAUUGAUGAUGGUGAAGAGGUAGGCCAUGACGUGGGCAGCUGGCCCCACCUGCAGGAUUCCCAGACACCAUGUGCAUCCCAGGAUGAAGAGCUGAGCUGUGGCUUUAAAUGUCAGCACCCUGAUGUUCCGGAGAGUGGACACAUCAUUGUUGAGUGAGGAGAGCUUGUUUUUCAGAAUCCAGAAGGUUAUAAGGAAGAAGACUAGAUUAAUCUGCAGAAACACCAUAAGACAUAUUGAAUUCAUCCACCUUUGCUAACCUUUCCUACUG